rnacentral:rRNA from 1 species
CCAUCAGAACUCCGCAGUUAAGCAUGCUUAGGCGAGAGUAGUACUAGGAUGGGUGACCUACUGGGAAGUCCUCGUGUUGCAACCCUCCCUUUUU